rnacentral:rRNA from 1 species
AGCCCUGAGAAAUUAUUCAGGGUGAAGCCUGCCCAAUGAAAGUUUUUUAAUGGCCGCGGUACUUUGACCGUGCUAAGGUAGCAUAAUCAGUUGACUUUUGAAUGAAGUCUGGAAUGAAGGGAAAAACGGGGCAAAGCUGUCUCUAGUAUUUUAAUAUGAAGUUACUAAUUAAGUGAAAAAGCUUAAUUAUGAUAAAAGACGAUAAGACCCUUAGAGUUUUAAUAUUUUUUCGUUGGGGCGACGUAGAGCCAAAAAUAAAACGCUCUAAUUUAAUUAUAAAACGAUUAUAUAUGACUAGAUAAACUACCUAAGGGAUAACAGCAUAAUCUUAAAAUAAGGUUUGUGACCUCGAUGUUGGACUAGGAAGCCUUUAGACUAGCCGUUUAAAAGGGGGAUUCUGUUCNAAUUUCUUAACUCCU